ensembl:rRNA 5S_rRNA 5S ribosomal RNA
GCUUACGGCCACACCGCCUGGUUCACGCCUGAUCUCGGAAGCUAAGAUAGGUUGGGCCUGGUUAGUACUUGGAUGGGAGACCGCCUGGGAAUACCAGGUGCUGCAAGCU